GAUGAACGCUGGCGGCGUGCCUAAUACAUGCAAGUCGAGCGAACGGACGAGAAGCUUGCUUCUCUGAUGUUAGCGGCGGACGGGUGAGUAACACGUGGAUAACCUACCUAUAAGACUGGGAUAACUUCGGGAAACCGGAGCUAAUACCGGAUAAUAUUUUGAACCGCAUGGUUCAAAAGUAAAAGACGGUCUUGCUGUCACUUAUAGAUGGGUCCGCGCUGCAUUAGCUAGUUGGUAAGGUAACGGCUUACCAAGGCAACGAUGCAUAGCCGACCUGAGAGGGUGAUCGGCCACACUGGAACUGAGACACGGUCCAGACUCCUACGGGAGGCAGCAGUAGGGAAUCUUCCGCAAUGGGCGAAAGCCUGACGGAGCAACGCCGCGUGAGUGAUGAAGGUCUUCGGAUCGUAAAACUCUGUUAUUAGGGAAGAACAUAUGUGUAAGUAACUGUGCACAUCUUGACGGUACCUAAUCAGAAAGCCACGGCUAACUACGUG
rnacentral:rRNA from 1 species